UACGAGGGGGGCAAGCGUUGUUCGGAAUUAUUGGGCGUAAAGGGCGCGUAGGCGGUGCGGUAAGUCUGAUGUGAAAUCUCCGGGCUCAACUCGGAGUCUGCAUCAGAAACUGCCGUGCUUGAGUGUGGGAGAGGUGAGUGGAAUUCCCGGUGUAGCGGUGAAAUGCGUAGAUAUCAGGAGGAACACCGGUGGCGAAGGCGGGUCUCUGGGCCGUAACUGACGCUGAGGAGCGAAAGCGUGGGGAGCGAACAGG
rnacentral:rRNA from 1 species